rnacentral:rRNA from 1 species
CCCAUGCCGGUCGCUCUGUCAGGGAGGUGAGCAGGAACAUGUGUUAUAGGACUUGAAAAAUGGUGAACUAUGCCUGGGCAUGUCCUUAGUGGUCCUGAUAUGCAAAUCAGUUAUCCGACCUGGGUAUAGGGGAGAAUGACUAAUCAAACCAUCUAGUAGCUGAUUUCCCCCAAAGCUUCCCAUAGGAUAGGUGUCAGUUGGAUAACCCCAACUUUUGUUUCGGGGGCAAAACAAUCUCAACAUAUUCUCAAACUUAAAUGGAUGGAGACAGGCAUCGAAUGCCAGUGCCCACUGGGCCACUUUUGGUAAACCGAACUGGUGUUGCAGGAAGAACUAAAUGCUAGGUUAAGAUUCCUGAUGCUGAUGCUCAUCAUACCCCAGAAAAGGUGUUGGUUGAUAUAAACAGUAGAACGGUGGCCACGCAAGUCUGAAUCUGUUAAGGAGUGUGUAACAACUCACCUGAUGACUCAACUAGCCCAGACAAUGGAUGGCGCUGGAGCAUCAGGCCCAUACCCGGCUAUUGCCGGUGGUGAGAGCUGCAGGGGCUAAGCCACAAAUGAGUAGGAAGACCACUGCAGUCUCUAUGGUAGCAUGGUGUGAGGGCUCUGGCAGAGGCACCUCAGGUGCAGAUCUUGGUGGUAGUAGCAAAUAUCAAAACGAGAACUUUGAAGGCCAAAGUGGACGUGGGUACCAUGUGAACAGCUGUUGAACAUGGGUCAGUUGUUCCUAAGAGAUGGGCGAGCGCCGUUCGGAAGGGACGGGCGAUGGCCUCCGUUGCCCUCAGCCGAUCGAAAGGGAGUCGGGUUCAGAUCCCCGAACCCGGAGUGGCGGAGACGGGCGCCCUCGCGGCGUCCAGUGCGGUAACGCAAACGAUCCCGGAGAAGCCGGCGGGAGCCCGGGGAGAGUUCUCUUUUCUUUGUGAAGGGCAGGGCACCCUGGAGGGGUUUUCCCUGAGAGAGGCACCUGAGCCUUGGAAAGUGUCGCUGCUCUAGUGGUGUCCUUUGAGCUCUCGAUGGUCCUUGAAAAUCUGAGGAAGAAGGUGUAAAUCUCGCACUAUACUCAUAUCCUCAGCCUCUGGCAUGUUGGACAAAUGUAGGUAAGGAAGUCGACAAGUAAGAUCCAUAACUUUGGGGUAAGGAUUGGCUCUAUGGGCUGGUUUAUCAGGCUGGGGCAUGAAGUGGGACUGGCGCGGACAAGGCUGAAUGAGGCAUCCCCCAGAGGGUGCCGCAGUCUCUGACCAUGAGCUGGACCCUUCCUGUGUCUCCUCAGAUGUGGUGGUCGCCUCUCUCCUUUCCCCUCCUGGAUUCGGGGCCAGUGUUCUGCCUCAGCCGAUGCCUAGCAGCUGACUUAGAACAGCAAUGGUCGAAAAAAGUCAAAGAGAAAAUGCUGAUAGUGUAAAAAAAGUGCAUUAGGCAUCGAAAAAAAACACAAAUCCCAUUAUAUCAAACAGGAUUCGGGGGUUGCUGCAGGGCUGUCACCCACUUCCCAAAGAAGAGAAGAGAAUAAACAAGUUUAAAAAAAAGAAAAGCACCCUGCAACGGCAGGCACUACCCAUUUUAGGGGUAGGAGACAUACAUCGCAGGGGUAUUUUCUUAUGUGAAGUUUUCUGCUUUGCAUAAUUGCGCUGCAUUCUUUUGUGCUAUGGUUAAAUCACGUAUAUCCCUUAGAACUGGUGCGGACCAGGAGAAUCCAACGGUUUAAUUAAAACAAAGCAUCAUGAAGGCCAGCAGCAGUUGUUGACGCAAUGUGAUUUCUGCUGAGUGCUCUGAAUGUCAAAGCAAAGAAAUUCAAUGAAGCAUGGGUAAACAGCAGAAAUAACUGUGACUCUAUUAAGGUAGCCAAAUGCUUUGUCAUCUAAUUAGUGACACGUAAAUGGAUGAACAAGAUUCUCACUGUCCCUACUUACUGUCUUGCAAAACCACAGCCAAGGGAACGGGCUUGGCAGAAUCAGUGUAAAAAAGAAGACCCUGUUGAGCUUGACUCCAGACUGGCACUGUGACCAGACAUGAGAGGUAUAUGAUAAGUGGGAGGCCCUCAGACCGCCAGUGAAAUACCACUACUCUUAUUGUUUUUUCACUUACCCAGUGCAGCAAGGGGGGCAAGCCGCAUGGGGAAUCCGCUUCUGGCUCCAAGAACCCGACUCAAGCCAGGCAAAACCUACUCUGGGGACAGUGGCAGGCGGGUAGUUUGACUGGAGCAUUGCACCUGUCAAACCAUAACUCAGGUGUCCGAAGAUGAGGUCAGGGAAGACAGAACGGCAAAUGCUUCCUGAAUACAGACCGAGACAGCUGGGCCUCACGAUCUGUCUGACAUGUUGUGUUUGAAGUAGGAGUUGUCUGAAAAUUACCACAGGGAUAACUGUCUUUUGGCAGCCAUUCCAUAUCGGCUCUUCCUAUAAUUGUACAACAGAAUUCCCCAAGCAUUGGAUUGUUCACCCACUAAUAGGGAACAUGAGCUGGGUUUAGAUCGUCUUGUGACAGGUUAGUUUUACCCUACUGAUGAUGUGUUGUUGCAAUAGUAAUCCUGCUAAGUACGAGAAGACCUGCACGUUCAGAUAUUUGGUGUAUGUUCUUGGCUGAGGAGUACAUGGGGUUAAAUUACCAUCUGUGGGAUUAUGACCGAAUAUCUCUAAGUGAGAAACCCCCCUAAACAGUUACGGUAUCGCAGCACUGUGGAACCUCGGUUGGCCUAGGAUAGCUGUCCUCUGGGCCUGUGCAUAGAGCGGCUUGCCUCAGGACUCGAGUGUGGACAGAAGGGGCCACUUCUCUCAGCCAUAGUGCACUACAU